rnacentral:rRNA from 1 species
GAUGAACGCUGGCGGCGUGCCUAAUACAUGCAAGUCGAACGAAGAUCUAGCUUGCUAGAUCUUAGUGGCGAACGGGUGAGUAAUACAUAAAUAAUCUGCCCAUUGGACUGGGAUAACUGUUGGAAACGAUAGCUAAUACCGGAUAGGUGAUUUGAAGGCAUCUUCGAAUCAUUAAAGUAGGGUCACUACACCAAUGGAUGAGUUUAUGGCGCAUUAGUUAGUUGGCGGGGUAACGGCCCACCAAGACGAUGAUGCGUAGCCGACCUGAGAGGGUGACCGGCCACACUGGGACUGAGACACGGCCCAGACUCCUACGGGAGGCAGCAGUAGGGAAUUUUCGGCAAUGGGCGCAAGCCUGACCGAGCAACGCCGCGUGAGUGAUUAAGGCCUUCGGGUUGUAAAGCUCUGUUGUAAGGGAAGAACAUUCAGGAUAGGAAAUGAUCUUGAACUGACGGUACCUUACCAGAAAGCCACGGCUAACUACGUG